UUGAUCCUGGCUCAGAACGAACGCUGGCGGCGCGUUUUAAGCAUGCAAGUCGAACGGUAGAGAGAUGCUUGCAUCUCUUGAGAGUGGCGAACGGGUGAGUAACACGUAGGUGAUCUACCGCAGGGGUUGGGGAUAGCCCAUGGAAACAUGGGGUAAUACCGAAUACGUUGGGUCCGCUUUGGCGGACUCAAGAAAGGCGCUUCGGCGUCGCCCUGCGAUGAGCCUGCGCCCCAUUAGCUAGUUGGUAGGGUAAAGGCCUACCAAGGCGACGAUGGGUAGCCGGCCUGAGAGGGUGAUCGGCCACACUGGGACUGAGAUACGGCCCAGACUCCUACGGGAGGCAGCAGCUAAGAAUCUUCCGCAAUGGACGAAAGUCUGACGGAGCGACGCCGCGUGGGUGAAGAAGGCCGGAAGGUUGUAAAGCCCUUUUCUUGUUGAGGAAUAAGCACAGGAGGGAAUGCCUGUGCGAUGACGGUAGGCGAGGAAUAAGUCCCGGCCAAUUACGUGCCAGCAGCCGCGGUAACACGUAUGGGACGAGCGUUGUUCGGAAUCAUUGGGCGUAAAGGGCGCGUAGGCGGCGAGGUAAGCCUGGUGUGAAAGACCGCAGCUUAACUGCGGGAGCGCGCUGGGAACUGCUUUGCUUGAGUUCAGGAGGGGGAGCUGGAAUUCCAGGUGUAGGGGUGAAAUCUGUAGAUAUCUGGAAGAACACCGGCGGUGAAGGCGAGCUCCUGGCCAUGAACUGACGCUGAGGCGCGAAAGCGUGGGGAGCGAACAGGAUUAGAUACCCUGGUAGUCCACGCUGUAAACCGAUGUGCACUAGGUGUUGGGCCACGAAGGUUCAGUGCCGGAGUUAACGCG
rnacentral:rRNA from 1 species